rnacentral:rRNA from 1 species
CCGCGUGGAGGAUGAAGUCCCUUGGGAUGUAAACUCCUUUCGAUCGGGACGAUCAUGACGGUACCGGAAGAAGAAGCACCGGCUAACUCUGUGC